rnacentral:rRNA from 1 species
UACGGAGGGUGCAAGCGUUAUCCGGAUUCACUGGGCUUAAAGGGUGCGUAGGUGGGCAAGUAAGUCAGUGGUGAAAUCUCCGGGCUUAACCCGGAAACUGCCAUUGAUACUAUUUGUCUUGAAUACUGUGGAGGUCAGCGGAAUAUGUCAUGUAGCGGUGAAAUGCUUAGAUAUGACAUAGAACACCAAUUGCGAAGGCAGCUGGCUACACGAAUAUUGACACUGAUGCACGAAAGCGUGGGGAUCAAACAGG